UACGUAGGGUGCAAGCGUUGUCCGGAAUUAUUGGGCGUAAAGAGCUCGUAGGCGACUUGUCACGUCACUGUGAAAACCCGGGGCUCAACUCCGGGCCUGCAGUCGAUACGGGCUGGCUUGAGUGUGGUAGGGGAGAUCGGAAUUCCUGGUGUAGCGGUGGAAUGCGCAGAUAUCAGGAAGAACACCUAUGGCGAAAGCAGCUCUCUGGGACGGUACUGACGCUGAGACGCGAAAGCGUGGGGAGCGAACAGG
rnacentral:rRNA from 1 species